UACGUAGGGAGCAAGCGUUGUCCGGAAUCAUUGGGCGUAAAGCGCGCGUAGGUGGCCAUGUAAGUCCGCUGUGAAAGUCAAAGGCUCAACCUUUGAAAGCCGGUGGAUACUGCACGGCUAGAGUACGGAAGAGGCGAGUGGAAUUCCUGGUGUAGCGGUGGAAUGCGCAGAUAUCAGGAGGAACACCAGUAGGCGAAGGCAG
rnacentral:rRNA from 1 species